AUACGGAGGGUGCAAGCGUUAAUCGGAAUUACUGGGCGUAAAGCGCACGCAGGCGGUUUGUUAAGUCAGAUGUGAAAUCCCCGGGCUCAACCUGGGAACUGCAUCUGAUACUGGCAAGCUUGAGUCUCGUAGAGGGGGGUAGAAUUCCAGGUGUAGCGGUGAAAUGCGUAGAGAUCUGGAGGAAUACCGGUGGCGAAGGCGGCCCCCUGGACGAAGACUGACGCUCAGGUGCGAAAGCGUGGGGAGCAAACAGGAUUAGAUACCCUGGUAGUCCACGCCGUAAACGAUGUCGACUUGGAGGUUGUGCCCUUGAGGCGUGGCUUCCGGAGCUAACGCGUUAAGUCGACCGCCUGGGGAGUACGGCCGCAAGGUUAAAACUCAAAUGAAUUGGCGGGG
rnacentral:rRNA from 1 species